UACGUAGGGUGCGAGCGUUGUCCGGAAUUAUUGGGCGUAAAGGGCUCGUAGGCGGUUUGUCGCGUCGGGGAGUGAAAACCAGGUGCUUAACACCUGGCUUGCUUUCGAUACGGGCAGACUAGAGGUAUGCAGGGGGAGAACGGAAUUCCUGGGUGUAGCGGUGAAAUGCGCAGAUAUCAGGAGGAACACCGGUGGCGAAGGCGGUUCUCUGGAACGCAACUGACGCUGAGACGCGAAAGCGUGGGGAGCAAACAGG
rnacentral:rRNA from 1 species